rnacentral:rRNA from 1 species
UACAGAGGGGGCAAGCGUUGUCCGGAAUCAUUGGGCGUAAAGGGCGCGUAGGUGGCGGGACAAGCGUGCGGUGAAAGCCUGGGGCUCAACCCCGGGUCGGCCGUGCGAACUGUUUUGCUUGAGCACUGUAGAGGCAGGCGGAAUUCCGGGUGUAGCGGUGGAAUGCGUAGAGAUCCGGAAGAACACCGGUGGCGAAGGCGGCCUGCUGGGCAGUAGCUGACACUGAGGCGCGACAGCGUGGGGAGCAAACAGG